rnacentral:rRNA from 1 species
GACGAACGCUGGCGGCGUGCUUAACACAUGCAAGUCGAACGGAAAGGCCCUGCUUUUGUGGGGUGCUCGAGUGGCGAACGGGUGUGUAACACGUGAGUAACCUGCCCUUGACUUUGGGAUAACUUCAGGAAACUGGGGCUAAUACCGGAUAGGAGCUCCUGCUGCAUGGUGGUGGUUGGAAAGUUUCGGCGGUUGGGGAUGGACUCGCGGCUUAUCAGCUUGUUGGUGGGGUAGUGGCUUACCAAGGGUUUGACGGGUAGCCGGCCUGAGAGGGUGACCGGCCACAUUGGGACUGAGAUACGGACCAGAAUCCUAUGGGCGGCAGCAGUGGGGAAUAUUGCACAAUGGGCGGAAGCCUGAUGCAGAAACGCCGCGUGCGGGAUGACGGCCUUCGGGUUGUAAACCGCUUUCGCCUGUGACGAAGCGUGAGUGACGGUAAUGGGUAAAGAAGCACCGGCUAACUACGUG